ensembl:snRNA U4 U4 spliceosomal RNA
AGCUUUGCGCAGUGGCAGUAUCGUAGCCAAUGAGGUUUAUCUGAGGUGCAAUUAUUGCUAAUUGAAAACUUUUCCCAAAAAAUAUCUAGAGACAAAUGAAAACAUACUAUACCAACUCAUAUG